UACGAAGGGGGCUAGCGUUGCUCGGAAUCACUGGGCGUAAAGCGCACGUAGGCGGUUUGUUAAGUCAGGGGUGAAAUCCUGGAGCUCAACUCCAGAACUGCCUUUGAUACUGGCGAUCUCGAGUCCGGGAGAGGUGAGUGGAACUGCGAGUGUAGAGGUGAAAUUCGUAGAUAUUCGCAAGAACACCAGUGGCGAAGGCGGCUCACUGGCCCGAUACUGACGCUGAGGCACGAAAGCGUGGGGAGCAAACAGG
rnacentral:rRNA from 1 species